rnacentral:rRNA from 1 species
UCUUAUGUACAUGCCUAUAGUGUUAAUGCACCAUAUUCCAUCAGAACUUCACAAUAAAGCGUGCUUGGGAUAGAUUAGUAUUGGGAUGGGUGACCUCCUAAGUAGUCCUAGUGUUUUACAUGCC